AGGAGCUCUGGCUUGGGACCUUGGACUACUUUUGGAUCUUCCUUUAGGAUUACCAUGUGGCUGAGUGAAAAGACUGACUCCUUUCCUGGGUCCUAGAGUGAGAGUUCAUGGCUACCUCCAGGACUGAGUUGAAUCCAGAGGAACAAGAAUGGCAGCCUCAGCCCUUCAUAUGAUGAUGGCCAUAGGGCUGCUAACUUUGAUUCUUCCCUGUCAUGCUGGUGACAAGCCAUCCAACUCUGAUGAAAAUUCAGAUGAGGAUCUCCCAUCAAUCUUAAACUUCUUAGGCACUGGGAUAAUUGAUUCUGCAAUGGAAUAUAUUCUCAAGUCAAUGUUCCAGAAAAAUGGAAUGGAAUGGGAAGAAAAAUCAAAAAAGGAUGCAGAAUGACAGACCCUGAAUACCAGUCAAUUCCUGGACCAGAUUCAACCUUUCCAUUCUCCCAGACUCAUUGACUAUUCAGUCCAGAAUCACUAAGCUACUUGGCAUCUACUGCUCUAGUUCUUUGGUACAGCAAGAGGUUGGUGCUAUGUAAAUGGAUCGUUUUCUCUUUCUGAGCUGCU
rnacentral:lncRNA from 1 species